GACGAACGCUGGCGGCGUGCCUAAUACAUGCAAGUUGAGCGCUGAAGGUUGGUACUUGUACCAACUGGAUGAGCAGCGAACGGGUGAGUAACGCGUGGGGAAUCUGCCUUUGAGCGGGGGACAACAUUUGGAAACGAAUGCUAAUACCGCAUAAAAACUUUAAACACAAGUUUUAAGUUUGAAAGAUGCAAUUGCAUCACUCAAAGAUGAUCCCGCGUUGUAUUAGCUAGUUGGUGAGGUAAAGGCUCACCAAGGCGAUGAUACAUAGCCGACCUGAGAGGGUGAUCGGCCACAUUGGGACUGAGACACGGCCCAAACUCCUACGGGAGGCAGCAGUAGGGAAUCUUCGGCAAUGGACGAAAGUCUGACCGAGCAACGCCGCGGGAGUGAAGAAGGGUUUCGGAUCGUAAAACUCUGUUGGUAGAGAAGAACGUUGGUGAGAGUGGAAAGCUCAUCAAGUGACAGUAACUACCCAGAAAGGGACGGCUAACUACGUG
rnacentral:rRNA from 1 species